rnacentral:rRNA from 1 species
CCUACGGGAGGCAGCAGUGGGGAAUCUUGCACAAUGGAGGAAACUCUGAUGCAGCGAUGCCGCGUGAGUGAAGAAGGCCCUUGGGUUGUAAAGCUCUUUCGUCGGGGAAGAAAAUGACUGUACCCGAAUAAGAAGGUCCGGCUAACUUCGUGCCAGCAGCCGCGGUAAUACGAAGGGACCUAGCGUAGUUCGGAAUUACUGGGCUUAAAGAGUUCGUAGGUGGUUGAAAAAGUUGGUGGUGAAAUCCCAGAGCUUAACUCUGGAACUGCCAUCAAAACUUUUCAGCUAGAGUUUGAUAGAGGAAAGCAGAAUUUCUAGUGUAGAGGUGAAAUUCGUAGAUAUUAGAAAGAAUACCAAUUGCGAAGGCAGCUUUCUGGAUCAUUACUGACACUGAGGAACGAAAGCAUGGGUAGCGAAGAGGAUUAGAUACCCUCGUAGUCCAUGCCGUAAACGAUGUGUGUUAGACGUUGGAAAUUUAUUUUCAGUGUCGCAGCGAAAGCGAUAAACACACCGCCUGGGGAGUACGACCGCAAGGUUAAAACUCAAAUGAAUUGACGGGGACCCGCACAAGUAGUGGAGCAUGUGGUUUAAUUCGAAGAUACGCGCAGAACCUUACCAACACUUGACAUGUUCGUCGCGACUUUAAGAGAUUAAAGUUUUCGGUUCGGCCGGACGAAACACAGGUGCUGCAUGGCUGUCGUCAGCUCGUGUCGUGAGAUGUUGGGUUAAGUCCCGCAACGAGCGCAACCCUCACUUUUAGUUGCCAUCAUUAAGUUGGGCACUCUGAAAGAACUGCCAGUGAUAAGCUGGAGGAAGGUGGGGAUGACGUCAA